rnacentral:rRNA from 1 species
CGAAAACGAAUUCUCUCUUGAGUGGAUCCUGAGUACGACGGAGCACGUGAAAUUCCGUCGGAAUCUGGGAGGACCAUCUCCUAAGGCUAAAUACUCUCUAGUGACCGAUAGUGAACCAGUACCGUGAGGGAAAGGUGAAAAGUACCCCGGAAGGGGAGUGAAAGAGAACUUGAAACCGUGUGCUUACAAGUAGUCAGAGCCCGUUAAUGGGUGAUGGCGUGCCUUUUGUAGAAUGAACCGGCGAGUUACGAUCUGAUGCAAGGUUAAGCAGAAAAUGUGGAGCCGUAGCGAAAGCGAGUCUGAAUAGGGCGAAUGAGUAUUUGGUCGUAGACCCGAAACCAGGUGAUCUACCCUUGGUCAGGUUGAAGUUCAGGUAACACUGAAUGGAGGACCGAACCGACUUACGUUGAAAAGUGAGCGGAUGAACUGAGGGUAGCGGAGAAAUUCCAAUCGAACUUGGAGAUAGCUGGUUCUCUCCGAAAUAGCUUUAGGGCUAGCCUCAAGUGAUGAUUAUUGGAGGUAGAGCACUGUUUGGACGAGGGGCCCCUCUCGGGUUACCGAAUUCAGACAAACUCCGAAUGCCAAAUAAUUUAACUUGGGAGUCAGAAUGUGGGUGAUAAGGUCCAUAUUCGAAAGGGAAACAGCCCAGACCACCAGCUAAGGUCCCAAAAUAUAUGUUAAGUGGAAAAGGAUGUGGCGUUGCCCAGACAACUAGGAUGUUGGCUUAGAAGCAGCCAUCAUUUAAAGAGUGCGUAAUAGCUCACUAGUCGAG